rnacentral:rRNA from 1 species
GAUGAACGCUGGCGGCGUGCCUAAUACAUGCAAGUCGAGCGAACGGACGAGAAGCUUGCUUCUCUGAUGUUAGCGGCGGACGGGUGAGUAACACGUGGAUAACCUACCUAUAAGACUGGGAUAACUUCGGGAAACCGGAGCUAAUACCGGAUAAUAUUUUGAACCGCAUGGUUCAAAAGUGAAAGACGGUCUUGCUGUCACUUAUAGAUGGAUCCGCGCUGCAUUAGCUAGUUGGUAAGGUAACGGCUUACCAAGGCAACGAUGCAUAGCCGACCUGAGAGGGUGAUCGGCCACACUGGAAGUGAGACACGGUCCAGACUCCUACGGGAGGCAGCAGUAGGGAAGCUUCCGCAAUGGGCGAAAGACUGACGGAGCAACGCCGCGUGAGUGAUGAAGGUCUUCGGAUCGUAAAACUCUGUUAUUAGGGAAGAACAUAUGUGUAAGUAACUGUGCACAUCUUGACGGUACCUAAUCAGAAAGCCACGGCUAACUACGUG